CAAAAACAUUUGCAAGAAUCAGACUUCAGUAAUAGCAGAUCAAGCCAGCCCAUGUACAGCCUAUGACAGAGCUCUGCUGUGGAACUCUGAUGCCUCAUGAAAUAAUUUACAAGCCAAGAAGGAUAUGAAAGAGUGAAGUAACCAUGCUCCGUACCCUCCCCCACGACUCUGUGAAUCUUCCAGGCUGAAGCUAGCCAUCUCUGAUAUUUUGAGCAGAAACAUUUACUGGAUGUGUACUGUGAUUAUUUCCAAGUCCUUGUCUCUUCUCCUUCCUCUGCUAAAAUUCAAAAUUGCCUUCUAUAAGCUAUAAAGAUUGUUUUGAAAUAAUGAGCCAGAAAUACACACAUGUUGUGCACAGUCCUAUGGAUCUUGCAGUAAAGCAAAUUAUAGUCUGGAAUGGAUGAAGGAAGAUGAAUCAAAACAUCUCUCUGUACAAAAUGCUUGUGGCUUAGCAGAAGUGGUCUUUUUCUUUCGUCUCAUGGUUAAAAUAUAUUGUGCUAUGAGCCUGUCUCAUGCUAAGAAGCACAGAGAAGAAAACAUACUGAUCUUUUAAAUAGACAGUUGUGGGACCAAAGCUAAUCCAUGGAAAAUUCCACAUACCUUUGAAAUGGAAGAGCUGCAUUUCUGUCUCUUCAGAAGUCUGAUAAUAGCCUCAUGCUAAAUUUUAUCAUCAGGAAUAUAACAUUUCUACAGCAUUCAGAGUAAGGCAUACAAGAAAACAUCUCUGAAUUAUGGCCAGAGCACAAUCCCAGUAAAAUUGAAAGUUCCGUUUUCUCUUACGAGCCAACUGCUGCCCACCAAUAAACAGGUGCACCCACAGGUUAUAUUGGUAUCAAAUGUAGCCAGGUAGUUUCAAGUACAAAUAGCUAAACCAUAGAGAGCUCAGUGCAGGCCAAAGUCCACUUGCAUUUUCCACCUGACACCAGCAAAGCUGGUCUGCAUGUCAAAUCCUUCAGAGCCCUGGCCUUGUUGUGGUCAUUUUCACACCUUACGUGCAUCUGGUGAGUUAAACUCAGUCUAUCCCAUCUGUUAUCUGAACAAAGAAGUACCUUUUUUUCAAGUACAAGAAGUAUGAAGCAAUUUGUAUUGGUAAAUAGCAACUUCUGUCGUGAAAAUGACCAGGAUGCCACAGAUUGUUAUUAUCUCAUGGUUAUUCUCUGUGAGAUAAUUGGAGCCAUCUAUAUGCAGACAAGCACUCAGCAAGUAUGAAUAGCUUCUGUAUCAUACACCAAGCUGGAAGUAAAUUAUUCCCUGUGGAGACUGGGCAUGCUACAAGCCACUUUAUCAGUGCCAUAUAUAUGGGCCCUUGUUUUGUAAACUUACUCGCAAGGAGUCAUUUGGUGUCUUAAUCAAAAUAGCUUCACAAAUCAUACGGCCUUUUGCUUCUGUUUUGGCAUCUCACCUCCUUAUGUUGUGUAUUCAACCAUAGUGUUGAAUAGCUGGUUAUAGUUUUCACUCCACUUCACACUAAAAGGUGCCAGAAUACAACUCUAGAAGGCAGCAUUAAGGAGAGCAUGCAGUCUGUUUAUUUUUAAUAAGCUGAUAUUAAGACUCCAAGCACUGUCCUUCAUGAACUUGUGUGGUACUGAAUUUCUGUAUUCUCAAAAUAACGAUUUUUAUUUUUUAAAAAGGAAGUGGACAGAGUCUUAAAUAGCAAAUCUUGCACUUCUCUGGCACCAUCAUUCUCCUAGUCCAGGCAAAAAAAAACAAAAAACAAUCAAAAAAAAACCCACAAAAAACACGCACACAAAAAAAAAAACAACCGGCCAACCAAACAACCAACCAAACAACAACAACAACAAACACAGUGACUCUCCUAGCAACCUACAGUUUGUUCUUUAGAUUUUUAAUCUUUAAUAGCAACAAUUUCCAUACACAAUAUAUAUCUUUUAGCACAAUUAAAAGAACCCAAACUAAAUCUCCACUGCUCAGCUCUCAGUCUGAUGCUGAAGUAACGUGAGACUUCAAUACUGGAAACUACUUCUGGCUUUCUCAACACAACUGAGGAAGAGGAGAUAAAUUAUUAUUAUUAUUAUUAUUAUUUGGUAAGUUGUUUUAUAAUUAGUGCAAUAGAUAAAUGAGAAAAUCUUCCUCAGAACAUCUCUUGUCUUGCAAUAUACUAGUUAAUAUAUUCUCUUCAGAGUCAGCCAACUGGUUUUAAUUAUACAGUUAUACCAGCAUGUCACCAUCUUAUUCCUAGCAGGGAAGCUGCAGUUAAAACAAAAAAAAUAGUAUAUAGGAGAAACUCAGAGCUGCCAAAGGCGCCAUUACUCAGGUAAUUUUAUUUUUAUUUUUAUUUUUUUUUUACACUGAAGUCCAGCUACUCAUCCAUCACUGAACAUUGUCUUCUAGGAGUCACUUCAUGCAGAUGGAGAAUAGGGCUCAUCUCAGCAUCCUACCCAGCACAUCAGGAGAAUAAUUUCCUCAGCUUAAGACCAUGGACAAAUAACUGCUAAGCAUAAAACAGCAGCUUUGUUUUUCUGUACAGCCUUGCCUUAAUGCCAGCAUUAAAGAGACUGCCCCAGUAAAAAUUAUAGCUUUAAGGUAUUCAGUUUACUGCUAAAAUCCAAUAGCACAUAAAAGUAUAAUACAUAUUUUAAGAGUUACCUUAAUCUCAGAGCUCUUGUGUACAUUGUUUUGGGAGAGUAAGUACCGAUCUGGCUCUGAUCACAGUGAAUUUCCCUACAUCUGUCUCAGUGGAGUGAGAGUAGGAGACUUUCAUCUCAAAACAGCACUAAGAUUACUGUGUCACCCUCUUUGGAGGACCAGAGAGCAUCAGGCCAAAGCAGAGCAAAAGAGUGUCACUGGUGACCAAUAACAGUAAGUAGAACAUUCCAUAUGCUUCUCUGAUUUAUGCCAGGGACUUGGUUGGCCUUGCAAAAGGAAGAGCUUAACUUUAACAUUCCCUUUAGCCCUCCUUAAGGAAUAAAACCACAUCUCUGUCCUCAGUGGAUUUGUUUCAUUUGUUUCAUUUUUUAAGCAGGUUUCUUUCUCCAACAUUUUUCAUUAAAAGUGAAAUGAUUUUCCACCCUGGAAAUCAUUAUCUUGCUAGCAUACCUAUGUGAGCUUCACUGUAAAUUUCUACACCCUGUGCCUGCAGUAAUCCUGCCUCCGUUGAAACAUCUGAGGACCAAAUUUAGGCUUGAACAUGUGCAAUAGGAUACAAAAUUUGGCUUCCCAAGUGUGAAAUAGCUCAGUUGUUCACUGACUCAACAUCAAAAAAAAAAAAAAAAAAAAAAAGGAUCAGCCUGUUGGAAUGGAUUCAUUUCCAAAACUGAAUGUAGUAAGAAAAAAUAAAAAGGAAUGGGGGAAAAAGAAAGAAAAAGCACUUCAUCUUUUAUGAAUUUGAGUUUCCAUUCAUAAUGUUCUGUUGAAAAUGCUCUUGAUAAAACAUGAUACAAGAUUUUUCUAAAUUAACCAGGAUUUUUCUGCUAUGUUAGAUUUCUCCUUUCUUUUCCUCAGAGCUUUGUUACUAAAAUUUACAAAACAGUUCUUGGUACAAUAAUUCUUAAUUAUAAUUUACAAGAACUGAUUCCAGUUGUAUAGCAUGGAUGCAAGUACCUCUGGGAACAGCCAUGUUGUACUUUCUGCAAACAGCAAGGGUAGCAGCAGUUGUUAUGCUGAUUUUCAUUCCAUAUUUAAAAGGAGACUGGCCACAGCUUCACAAUCCUUAAAAAGAAACCAAAACACAGAGCUCAUUCAAGGAGAUUUUUAAUCUCCAGUUGAAGCAAAAGCCAUUUUGGAGACCAGGCAAGAUGCCUUGCUGACACAGAGCCACUGCACCUGCUGCCUGCCCUCAGCACUGAGCUGAGCUGUGCUGCGAUGCCACUGAGCUGGGGUGGCUUUCCCAGGGUCACCCAACACAAAUCCCACUGAGCACCCAGGAUAUUCAGUUCCAAUCACAGAGACGUUCUGCUGACUGGUGAAACAGUAGGAGUAUUGGUUCUUACAGGCACUAAGCACAUCCCUUGUUGAUCUGCUGGUACACAUUGCUAUACUCCAAUGCCAGGAGGAACCCUGUUACUCUGCAAUAGCAAAUCCAUUAUUGUCCUUGGUUUCCUUCUUCCUUCACGCUUUCCUCUGCACAUUCCUCCUACCCACCAUAAACACCGAAAGCAAAGCCCAGGGAUUUUACUGAACAUAGCUCUGAGUGGAGGGGAUAAAGCUAUAGGACCCAAAUCCUGGUUACAUGAAAGCAAAAGAUGCCAAAGUCUUAAAGUGCUUUGACAGAAAGCUAGCUCUGAACAACAAGGAAUGUAAGCUCUGUGGUCAGUUUAAUCCCUGGAAUAACUCUGCAGAUUUAUGAGUAAUAUUGCACAGUGUCAGUUUGGCUAUAAUGUUUUGAUAUCUUUAAAUUACUUACUGCUGUAUUUUCCUUUCUGGUGUUUUUGGUUUUUUAUAUAAGCUUUCCUUUUAAAACAAUACAGGAGAAGUGAGAAAAUAUGCAUCUAUCUGAAAAUAGACAGCAACUUUUGCUGCAGAAAAUCUGAAUCCUGGGAGAGAAAUUAGUUCCAGUAGCUGCCUGGGCAGUGGUGCAGCCCUGGCUAGAAAGAAUACAUCUGCUGCCUCGAGGAAUUUCUCAAGAAAAACAGCAGUCCAAGAAAAUUUUUAUUACAGUUAUUAUUCUUUUUAUUGCCAUUAACUGAGGUUUAGGGCUGUGAAAGCUGCACCAAUCUCUUUCUGCAUUGUUGUCGCUUUUCUGUGCCCAGAGAAAUAAUGUCAGCA
ensembl:lncRNA